GGCUGGUCCAACGGCAGUGAGUUAUCUCAAUUGAAUGCUCACAGUCAGUUACAGACCGAAUUCCUUGUUCUCUUACCUCUCUUCUCACCACUGCACUUGAUCAUCUUCAA
rnacentral:Y_RNA from 1 species